CUUUUUUUAUUUUAGUAUUCUAUAGUUUAAAGUGUAUCAAUUUAGUACCCUGUGAUUUCGCACUUUUUUAUUUUAGUACCCUAUGGUUUAAAGUGCAUCAGUUUAGUACCCUGUGAUAUUAUUUUUCUCUUUUCGUCGGCUCUUUUGUUAAUAUUUCAUUAAAUUAUAUAAAAAAAGCUUCAGAUACCUUAUUUAGGUUUAUCGAAUAUUAUUUCAACACCUUUAGUUUUAACUUUGUCACUAAAUUUUUUUUCCUCCGUUAAUAUUUCGUUAAAUUAUAUACAAAAAACUUCAGAUAUCUUACCUAAGUUUAUCAAAUAUUCAUUUUAGUAUCCUUUAAUUUUAACUUUGUCGCUGAUUUAACAAAAAAAAUUAGUGAAAUGGAUAAUAAAAAGAGAAAAAUGAAACCACAUGGCACUAACUUGAUACACUUUAAACCACAGAGUAGUAAAAUGAGAAAGUGCGAAACCACAGGGGCUAACGUGAUACACUUUAAACCAUAGGGUACUAAAAUGAGAAAGUAUGAAAUCACAGGGGUAUUUGAAUUUUA
rnacentral:lncRNA from 1 species